GCCUGACGGAGCAAUGCCGCGUGUGGGAUGAAGCAUCUUCGAUGUGUAAACCACUGUCAGGGUCUAGGAAUACUGACCAGACCCAGAGGAAGGGCCGGCUAAUUCCGUGCCAGCAGCCGCGGUAAUACGGAAGGCCCGAGCGUUAAUCGGAAUCACUGGGCUUAGAGCGUACGCAGGCGGACUUGUAGGUAUCUUGUGAAAUCCCACGGCUUAACCGUGGAACUGCAGGGUAAACCACAAGUCUUGAGACAUGUAGGGGUCAGUGGAACCAUGAGUGGAGCGGUGAAAUGCGUAGAUAUUCAUGGGAACGCCAAUGGCGAAGGCAGCUGACUGGGCAUGUUCUGACGCUCAGGUACGAAAGCGUGGGUAGCGAACGGGAUUAGAUACCCCGGUAGUCCACGCCGUAAACGAUGCACACUAGGUCGUGGGAUCUCUCAUGAUUUCGCGGCCGAAGGUAAACUGAUUAGUGUGCCGCCUGGGGAGUACGGUCGCAAGGCUA
rnacentral:rRNA from 1 species